AACGAACGCUGGCGGCAUGCCUAACACAUGCAAGUCGAACGAGACCUUCGGGCCUAGUUGCGCACGGGUGCGUAACGCGUGGGAACCUGCCCUUAGGUUCGGAAUAACUCCCCGUAAGGGGUCCUAAUACCGGAUAAUGUCUUCGGACCAAAGAUUUAUCGCCUUUUGAUGGGCCCGCGUUGGAUUAGCUAGUUGGUAGGGUAAAAGCCUACCAAGGCGACGAUCCAUAGCUGGUCUGAGAGGAGGAUCAGCCACACUGGGACUGAGACACGGCCCAGACUCCGACGGGAGGGAGCAGUGGGGAAUAUUGGGCGAUGGGCGAAAGCCUGAUCAAGCAAUGCGGGGUGAGUGAUGAAGGCCUUAGGGUUGUAAAGCUCUUUUACCCGGGAUGAUAAUGACAGUACCGGGAGAAGAAGCUCCGGCUAACUCCGUG
rnacentral:rRNA from 1 species